AAUUUUUAAACUGCACGCAAAAAGUUGAUUGCAGCGGUUGUGAGCUAAAACUUUAAUGUAGUUUAAAUCAUAAUAGACCAUUGCAAGUUCUUUAAAGUAGGUAAUCUUGGAAUGAAUAAAAAGAUUGAGAGAGUUACUGAUGCCGUGAAGAAAGAGUUUUAUGGAAAUGCUGAUGUCAUAAAGAAAUUGUUUC
rnacentral:lncRNA from 1 species